UAAUUGAAGAGUUUGAUCAUGGCUCAGAUGGAACGCUGGCGGCAGGCCUAACACAUGCAAGUCGAGCGGGAACAGAGAGUAGCUUGCUACUUUGCUGACGAGCGGCGGACGGGUGAGUAAUGCUUGGGAACAUGCCUUGAGGUGGGGGACAACAGUUGGAAACGACUGCUAAUACCGCAUAAUGUCUACGGACCAAAGGGGGCUUCGGCUCUCGCCUUUAGAUUGGCCCAAGUGGGAUUAGCUAGUUGGUGAGGUAAUGGCUCACCAAGGCGACGAUCCCUAGCUGGUUUGAGAGGAUGAUCAGCCACACUGGGACUGAGACACGGCCCAGACUCCUACGGGAGGCAGCAGUGGGGAAUAUUGCACAAUGGGCGCAAGCCUGAUGCAGCCAUGCCGCGUGUGUGAAGAAGGCCUUCGGGUUGUAAAGCACUUUCAGUCAGGAGGAAAGGUUAACGGUUAAUACCCGUUAGCUGUGACGUUACUGACAGAAGAAGCACCGGCUAACUCCGUGCCAGCAGCCGCGGUAAUACGGAGGGUGCGAGCGUUAAUCGGAAUUACUGGGCGUAAAGCGUACGCAGGCGGUUUGUUAAGCGAGAUGUGAAAGCCCCGGGCUCAACCUGGGAACUGCAUUUCGAACUGGCAAACUAGAGUGUGAUAGAGGGUGGUAGAAUUUCAGGUGUAGCGGUGAAAUGCGUAGAGAUCUGAAGGAAUACCGAUGGCGAAGGCAGCCACCUGGGUCAACACUGACGCUCAUGUACGAAAGCGUGGGGAGCAAACGGGAUUAGAUACCCCGGUAGUCCACGCCGUAAACGAUGUCUACUAGAAGCUCGGAGCCUCGGUUCUGUUUUUCAAAGCUAACGCAUUAAGUAGACCGCCUGGGGAGUACGGCCGCAAGGUUAAAACUCAAAUGAAUUGACGGGGGCCCGCACAAGCGGUGGAGCAUGUGGUUUAAUUCGAUGCAACGCGAAGAACCUUACCUACACUUGACAUACAGAGAACUUACCAGAGAUGGUUUGGUGCCUUCGGGAACUCU
rnacentral:rRNA from 1 species